UCAGAUUGAUCAUUCCGUAACGGCCAUUUCGGUGUCUGCUUUGUCCGUGGCAUUCGUCGCGCUCGCAUAUAUUUGUGUGAUUUCUUUCGUGCGUUUGUGUUUUUGUUUGUCCAAAUGCGGCAGCCAUGGUUGUUGCCCUCUUAGGGGCUGAACGGGAAUGUGUUGGCGUUUCUAAGUAGAUUCAGCAGCGGCGGCCGCAUGCUGGAUCCGCUCCUGUGUCAGCAAUGUGAUGAGGUUGUCCAGUUUCUGGCUGAGUUCAUCGCUAGGACGGACGAUCUGAUUACUCACCGUGCGCUGGAAUCCGGUUGUGGUCGCUGUGGGUAGCAUUGACUGCCAUACUUGCCUCCCUGGAAGCGGCUGGGAAAGGCUUGCUGGCUCCCUUGUGCGAAGUGUCUCAGCAUAACUGCUCAUCUCAGCUGGCGGAGCAGGAGCUCUUGCGUCUGAGCGCGCUCGCCGCAAACCCUGAGCGGCGGGUAAGUAAUCUUUAUAUUUGAUACAACCACGGUAGCUAGAAACAUAAGGACCAUUACAAUUGGCGCAUUUCGGCACAUCCUCCCGCUUCUUGGGGCAGUCCUUGGGGUCAUGCUUCUCCCCACAUUUCAGGCAUAUAACUGCACGGCUGCAGUAGUUCUUUUUGUCUUUUCGUAUGCAACGGCGGCAAUACGUAAUUAGCAUAGCGCAACGUAACCCAGCUCGAGCCUUGGCCUGUUCCAGCAGGUUAGGGGAGCCAGUGUUACGUUACGCCAUGGGGACUUUAUUCUACCUAUACUAUUCUAGCAUUUUUAGUACAAAUUAUUAGGGCUGUAGUAUAUCAUAAAUAUUC